CACAUGGUGUCCUGCGCAGACGAGGCGACUGGAUAGCGAUGUGGCCUAACUCGAGGU
rfam:Idiomarina baltica OS145 scf_1099451322325 genomic scaffold, whole genome shotgun sequence.